CCUGCACAUAUAAGACGUCAAGACUAAAAGCGAAUAAAUGAACAAGAAGUAGAAAGUAUCUAGAGAUAUCAGAGCAAAUAUACAGCUAGGUUCUAUUAACAAGUAGAGUCGAAAGAGAAUAAACCACUAAAGUAUAAAGUAAACUAAUACAUCAUCAAUCUCAAGAUAAAAGUAGAGUGGUCUCUAUAACCAGGACAAACACUCUCACAACCUCUCAAAGAAAAUAGAGAAGUGGACCACUAUCACCAAAUCCCUCGAUAGCUAGGUCGAGGGCGAACCUUUCGCGCGAUCCGAGUCUCCCGGAGUGAAAGGCUCUGAAAGAAAACAUAAAAAUGGGGCGUGAGAACUGUAUUUAUAGUUCCCAGUGGGCAAUUAUGAACUGAGCAAAAUGCACCACUAGGCCCAAAACAUAAGCAGGUAAGGGUAAAAAUAAGUAACUACGGAAAAGAAAGCAUAUAAUAAAUGUAUACUACAAUGCACAAUAUAAGAUGAGUGUCAACAUGAUGAACAUCUACAUUAUCUUGAAUCCAUAUUCCAAUACAUAACAAGUAUGCUCUAUCAUGGCUACAAGUAUACUAUGAUGCAAUAAGUAAUACUAUCAAGUAUACUACAUGUCAAGUAUCCAAUACAUAUCUAGUAUGCACUAUCAUAACGACCAAGUACAUAUAUGUUUCCAAUGUCCACUGAAUCCAACUACGAUAUAUUAUCAAGUAGUGGAUUAUUACAUUACAACUCCGUGUCGAUUUUCAUUUCAAUUAGGCCUACCCAAGGUAGUCCAGCUUGUGCCGCUGAGCUGCCGGUGGUAGUCAACAUUCCCCUUUGAGGAACGAGACUGUCCCACAGACCCUACAGGCGCUCGCGCUUAGCUGCCGUGGUAGCACAUCAUCCCAAGCUGGAAUAAGGCUGUCCCACGCGACCCUAUAGGCGUCUCAAUCCCGCACGCCGCGAACUUGCGUCGCAAAAGGCCAACUUCGGGAGUGUCGGCUUGUAGGGAGACGACCCUCACAGCAUGUGCGAAUGAGCACAAAUGGCAAGUAAUCAUAGUCAUCAUAUCACGAUCUCGUCAUCAUGUCUCUAACAUGAAAUAGAAACUCAACGGUCAUCAUAUGUCUUAAAUGGAAAUGCUCACUAGUAACCCGAGGAUCUAGUCUAUGCCUCAAGAGUGAAGGUUUACUAAGUUCACUAUGUCCAAUGCCUCUUUAUGGCAUUAUCUCGCUAUGUCCAAAACCAUUCCAAGACUUAAUGCCGCUUUAUGACAUUGCUUACCAAGUCCAAUCUUUAGGUCCAAGCUAAUGCCGCUUUAUGACAUUAGCUUAUACUUACAUACAUUUAACAUAUGUCACUUAAUGACAAUAUGUCAACCAUGCCAGCAGCCUGCUUCUAAGUCAAAGAGUUGUACCUACAUGUCAUAUGCACUAUUAUGCAACAUGAUCUCAAUCAAAUGUAAGAAUGCUAACUGUAUGCAAGGUCCCAAUCUGAACAGUUCUCUUACUAUAUAGAGGUCCAAUGUACUUUAUACAUACAUGCACAUAUUAAAUGAACCACUAGACCUUUGCAAAUGCGAGUUCGGGGAUGUGGUAUGGACUGUGUUUGAGCUUUUCCAGAUUUUCUGGUGGCGUCGUUGACAGAUGUUCCGACAUGUAUUAGUUCGAAAUCUCGAGAAUUGUAGUAUUUUAUGUAGCGCUAAGGUCACUAAAGAGUUGGACUUAGGCUACCAUCGGAUUGCAUUCUGCACGAGGUGUAACCGGUGACAGGUCGAUGGCUAUACCGGUACACAUUUUGUACCGGUACACUUUUGACGGCUGUACCGGUACACUUGUGGCGAAUUUCAAACCCGAGCCUCCGGUUUGCAUUUUCGUAGGAUUUGUACUGGUACACUUUCCUGUGUACCGGUACACUUUGGCAGAAUCUUAGCAGUUUGAACUGCAGGGGGUUUUUCGCAAUUGUGGUCUUCUAUAUAGCCACCCACGCCCCUAGGGCUUUCUCCUGAGCUUGCCACAGCAGGAAUAGAGGUAAGGGAUCCCUCCUUGAUUUUCCUUUUGAUUUUCUUGGAUUUUGGUGGGAUUUUAAGAGAUUAAACUUCUCUUUUUGCUCUUUAGUGCAAUUCCUCCAUUGUUGAAGCUUGGAGCUUGGAUUUGGAGCUUUGUUGAGGAGAGAUCUUUGGACUUAGAGAGUUUAGAGCUUGGAUUGAAGCUUCUAGGAGGUAAUCUACUUGUUUUCUCCCUCUAGAUUUGAGUUUUGUUGUUGGAUUUGAGAUGAAACCCUAGAUUGGAGACUUAGGGUUUAUUUUGGGCAUUUUGACCCUAGGGCUUUUGGAGCUUGAUUAAUUGGAUUAGAACCUCCCUUUGGGUUAGAUUAGAAGGAUUCUAGCUCUCUUUUGGAGCUUGAGAGAGAUUUUCUACACAUUAGGUGAGCUUUAGCCCUUUUGCCUUGAUGGUUAAUGUUUGAUCUUAUGGUUGAUCGUAAUGCCCGUGUAUCUAUUCGCUCAAUACUUUUAGGGUAUUUUGAGAUUUGUGGACAACUUCGUUCGGCGAAACGAAGGACUACGCGACGGUUCGGUGGGUUUGACCUAGCCACACAAUGAGAAAAUCUCAUUUGUGAUGUUUUGAGUAUCGUUAAAUGAAAAAGCAUGCAUAAUCAUGUUAGAUACAUUUAUUAUGAAUUUUAGAAUGCUUAACAUGCAUAUGUUAUGUAUAGUAAAUUUUUGGACCACUAUGUGGUAGGGUGCAUGCAUGUGGGACAUAGCAUUCUAGUUGGGACUUGGAACCAUGAUUCUAUUAUGAAUUGAGCAUUACUUUCAUGCAUUUAACCUUUAUGCCCAAUUGAGAUAUUAGGGACUUUGGAAGCCUAGAGAGGCUUGGGGUGUCACGCCCCACGACCGCACCUCCCGAAAACGGUACCAAUUUGGUCCGAUUCGAGGGCGGCGUGCGUGACCGCCGAACCGGCAGAGUCUCCCCUGCCCGCCCUAGGCUAGGCAACAACGAGAUUGUGUACAACAAGUUCCCAGGAAAACGACUUGCAUUCAUACACAAUCGAUAACGAAGCGAAGGCACAAACAGUGCUACAAACAACUAGAGCAAGCGAUACAAGUAAAACCAUACAAGUAUACAAAAGAGAGAAACUUAGCUACUUGAGACAUCAUUGAAACAUUUAACCUCUUUCGAUAUCAUUUAAAACUUUAAGCGUUUAAUACAACUUGCAUUCUUUUUCCAAAAUGAAUAUACAUCAUAUACUCUCCAAAACCUCACCCUAUACAUCAUCUACUCUCAAACUGCAUAAACCAAAAGUACAGGGUGGUGCUAAUGCAAUAGGAUAGGUAAAGUAACUAUCAAACCGCUAGGGCGCUAAGCCCUUGCCACGAUCCAUCGAUGAAGGCCCGCUGUCCUGUGUACCUGUACCCGCAAAGCCACACGGGGGUGAGAACUACGAAUAGUUCCCAAUGGGUUCGGCCGCCGACUCCGCCGAUCUACCCACUAGGUCUCAAGCGGGCAUAGAGAGAUAUAUAUAUGCAGUAUAUAUAAAACUAAGCUGAACAGAAAGCAGGUAUGUAAACAACUAUAUCAAGCUAUGCCUCAAUCUGGAAUCAUGAAUGCAUGAACAAUAAAUAAAGCUGGGUAAGUAAGCAACUAUCAACAUCUACAACAGCUAUCAUAGUAAGCUAUAAAACAUGCUACUAGGUAAGCAAACAAGCUGAUAUGAACAAUGAACAGCUACUAUGAACAUCAAUCAUGGGUAAGACUCAAUGGGUAACCCAAUCUCCAAGCGAACACAAGGUUCACGAGCAAGGCUCACAUAUCAAUCUCCGAGGGAUGCCUAGCUGGUCGAUCCCCGAGUAUGCCUGCGGAUAACAAGCGGCUAUCCGAGCAGCGAGCAGGGCUGCCUCUCUAGUGACCAAACUCCGGAGCGCACAACUUGAGGGGAGCGACCCCACCAAGCGCAGACAGGCAAUGUGAGCAAGAUCAUCUCACGAGCAACAACAACAACCCUUUGAGGGUAAUAUCAUCAUGGAAGCAAGGUAUACAUGUACCCAAUCUCAUAGUGUCUCAACUACACUAAUGUGAUCAUCUCAAGGAAACAUCAACAAUGUCAUUCACAAGCAAGGCUCACAUAUCAAUCUCCGAGGGAUGCCUAGCUGGUCGAUCCCCGAGUACGCCUGCGGAUAACAAGCGGCUAUCCGAGCAGCGAGCAGGGCUGCCUCUCUAGUGACCAAACUCCGGAGCGCACAACUUGAGGGGAGCGACCCCACCAAGCGCAGACAGGCAAUGUGAGCAAGAUCAUCUCACGAGCAACAACAACAACCCUUUGAGGGUAAUAUCAUCAUGGAAGCAAGGUAUACAUGUACCCAAUCUCAUAGUGUCUCAACUACACUAAUGUUUUAAUAUCAAGGUCAUCAUCAAUCAUAUGUCACUCGUCAUAGUUUUCUAACUAGAUGCCACUCGUCAUUUAGACUCAUUUUCAACACUAGUUACAUCAUACUAGUUCUUUAGCAACAUAAGCAUUAAUCAUCUCAUAUAGGGUUAAAUCUCAUCAUCAAACUCUAUCAUUUAAUCUCAUGCAUACUAAUUUAUAAUUCAUUCAAUCAACCAUAUCUAUAGCUACUAGCAUGCAAAUUAAGCAACAUAAUAAAUCUUUAACCCUAUAAGAACAUACACGAUAUGCAACUUGAUCAUAUUUAGACUUAGACAUAGAAGGUAGCCCGAUGGCUUCGGGAUGGCACUCCCCCACCUUGGGUGAUGCCGCAAACACUUCGAGACGCGUUCUCGUACGAGUCUUGUCGCCGCUUAAUUUUCGUUGGGUUAACUUUAACCCUUUAGCGCAUCAAUUGGCGAUAUCUUCGCGCUCACUCGUCGGAUCGACGAACUGUCUUCGCCUACGCGUUUAUAAGCAUAGAAAUUAGGUUUCUAACCCCUCAAAAGAGAUCAAACCCUAACAAUAGCAAAAUCCCCAAAUCUAACCCUAGGUUUAGCAACAAUAGAGAAAUCAUGGUUUCAAGCUCCAAAUUUGGGGUUGAGCCUUCUCUUAAGCUCUAAUGGUUUCCAUUUGAACCAUUCUUAAGCAACAAAACCUUUUUCAAAACCUAGGUUUAGCAUAAAUGAGGAAACCAUGGAUGCUAGCCUCAAUGUGAGCUAGAUCCAUCAUCUCUAAGCUCAUUAGGUUCCAUUUGAACCAAUAAAAGCAACAAAAACCACCCAAACCCUAGAAAUCCAAAACUAGGGUUAGAGCUUACCUCUAGGGUUUGCUCCAAAGCAAGCCCUAAGAUAAGGAUGAGGUGAAGAAGAGCUCCAAAACCUUCUUCUCCUUCUUCUCCUUCCUUUUCUUCCUCUCUUUUUCCUUCUUUUUCCUCUCUUUUCUUCUUCUCCUUCUUUUCUCCUUCAACCGAUUAGAGAGAGAGAGAGAGCUAGAGAGAGAGAGGGGGGCUGUGAGAGUGAGAGGGGAGAGAGCUGAGAGUGAGAGGGAUAUAACCUCUAUUGUAACAAUAUGCUAAAAAGCCCUCCAUUUAUCAGAUUUUGCAACUUAACCCGCAGCUGCCGCGCCCUUGUACCGGUACACGGGGCCUUGUAUCGGUACAGGCCCUUAAACCGAGCGCAAACCGAGCCUCGGGUUUAUCUGUUUCGCAGAGCUUGUACCGGUACAAGCCAGCCUUGUACCGGUACAGCGCCUGAAGCCUUCGAACCCGAGAGCUGCGCAGCCUGGCUGCGAUGGUUGUACCGGUACAGCCAUCACCCGUGUACCGGUACAACAGCUCCAGAAUGCUGUUUUUCGAUCUGUUUCGGCUCCGCUUCGCGCCGAUCGAUGUGCAAACCAUUCCAACACCUUUAGAACUCACUUUUGCUCUUCCAAAUGUGUUGGAGCACCGAAUGGAACUUGUCCAAAUCAUUUAAUCGCCCACUUUGGCCUAUUUGGCCAAAGUUAGCCAAUAUCGUCGAAUUUCGAUAUCUUACAUGGGGACUUAGACUAUUUGAGAUUUUGGGCCAAUGUCAUAAAGAGGCAUUGGGCUCCAACCUUAGUGAGCAUUGGUAUUAAUGUCUUAAAUGAGAACAUAGAACAUGAUUUGGGCUUGAUUAGUUGUGGUGCUUAAGUGUAACACACUGGACUUUUGCAAAUUGCGAGGUUCGAGUGUUUGAUCUGAGCUUUUCCAGUUAUUCUGGAGGGUCGUAGACAGUGUUCCGACCUAUGGCUCGUAUCUCGAGAAAUUCGGUUUAAAGCCUUGCACCAAAAUCUGAAAAAACGGGUUUUGGCCAGCUCUCGGAUAGGUUUUUGGAAGUGCUGUACCGGUACAGGGUUGGUGUCUGUACCGGUACAGGGUUGAUGGUUGUACCGGUACAGACACCGGCUUGUACCGGUACAGAGCCGCUGAACCCCUCAACCCGAGCCUCGGGUUGAGAUUUUCGUGGGGCUUGUACCGGUAGAAGGGCCCGUGUACCGGUAUAAGCAUGCAGAUUUUGAGCAGUUUGAACUGCAGGGGUGUUUUUGCUUUUGUAGCAACUCUAUAUUGCUAUCUCAUGCCCCUUGGUGUUUCCUGGGCUUGCUAGCAGUGGAGAAGAAGGUGAGGGAGCUCUCCCCUUCCCCUCUUUUUUUUUUUUUCAUUUUGGUUGAGAUUUUUGAAGAUUAAACUCUUCUUUUUUGCUCCUCUUUGCUUCUCGGUGCUUUUCCACCAUGGGAGAAGCUUGGGAACUUGGAGUUGAGCUUGUUGGAGGAGAGAUCUUCAACCCUAGUAGAGUUUGAACCUUGUUUGAGGCUUCAUGAAAGGUUAGUAGCAUGAUUCUCUCAUUAGAUUCAUGUUUUGCAUGAUUUUGGUUUUGAAACCCUAGAAAUGAGGAUUUAGGGUUUGAUUUGGGGACUUUUGAUCUAGGGCUUUUGGAGCUCAAUUGAUCGGUUUAGAACCUUCCUUUGGGGUAGAUUGGAAGGAUUCUAGCUCUUAUUUGGAGCUUGAGAGGGGUUUUCUACACUUAGGUGAGAUUUUGCCUUUAUCUUGAGUUUGUUAAUGUUUGAGUUUUGGGUUGUUCGUUUCGUUUGGNUCCCCUUCCCAUCUUUCUUUUUCUUUCUUUUGGUUGAGAUUUUUGAGGUUUAAUUCCCUCAUUUCCUCUCUUUUUGCUUGUUGGAGGCUUUUCCACCAUGGGAGAAGCUUGGGAACUUGGAGUUGAGCUUGUUGGAGGAGAGAUCUUCAACCCUAGUAGAGUUUGAACCUUGUUUGAGGCUUCAUGAAAGGUUAGUAGCAUGAUUCUCUCAUUAGAUUCAUGUUUUGCAUGAUUUUGGUUUUGAAACCCUAGAAAUGAGGAUUUAGGGUUUGAUUUGGGGACUUUUGAUCUAGGGCUUUUGGAGCUCAAUUGAUCGGUUUAGAACCUUCCUUUGGGGUAGAUUGGAAGGAUUCUAGCUCUUAUUUGGAGCUUGAGAGGGGUUUUCUACACUUAGGUGAGAUUUUGCCUUUAUCUUGAGUUUGUUAAUGUUUGAGUUUUGGGUUGUUCGUUUCGUUUGGGUAACCAUCUUUUUGAUGCUUCUAGGGUACUAGGAGGCCUGUGGGUACCUCCGUUCGGCGAAACGAAGGUUUCGAUUUUGGUGGGUUUGGCCUCACCUAUAUGAGAUAAAUUUCUCAUAUGAGGGUUUUUAUUUAUCGUAAAGUGAAAAUGCAUGCAUAUUCUUAUUAGAUAGAAUGCUUGAGAAUUUUAGAAUGCUUAAAAUGCACAUGUUAUAUACAAUGCAUAUUUGACCUCUAUAUAGUAGAGAGUUUUCAUAUUGGGCUAGUAGGGGCCUAUGGUUAGCAUUCUUAUAUUUGAUUGAGAUCGUGUUGCAUAUGGUGCAUAUGGCAUAUAGAUUACGCUCUUGGACUUAGAACGCAUGCUUGACAUGGUUGGACAUAUCGACAUUAAGUGACAUAGGCUAGAGUGUAUAUUAAUAGUAAGCUAAUGUCAUAAAGCGGCAUUAGGCUUGGACUAGAUAUGGACUUAGCAAGCUAAUGUCAUAUAGCAGCAUUAGACUUGAUGGUUAUGUGAAUUGCUUGUACAUGUUUUUAUUAUGAGAUUUAUGCUAAGUUAAUAUUUGCAUUGGAUAGAAUAUGCAUGUUGCAAUAUGAGAACACGCUAGAGAGCAUGUGUAUUAAUCUAUUAUUGAUAGAACAAGCUAAUGUUAUAAAGAGACAUAGAAUGUGAAAUGUGCUUAGAAUAUAGCAAUGUUAAGUGUCAUAAAGAGGCACUAAACAUAGUAAAUGUUGGAACUUCAUCUUGGGAUUUGGACUUAGUAAAGUUAAGGUCAUUGACAUCGAAAUUAUUGAACGGUUAAACCUUCACUUUGAGACUAGUACUAGACCCUUGGGUUGCUAGUGACUGUUACCAUGUUAGAGACAUGAUGAUUGGGUAUUUGAGAUGAUGAUCAUGCUUGCUUGCCAUUUGUGCUCUUUCGCACAUGCUUGUACGGAUCGCUCCCUACAAGCCGGCACUCCGGAGUUAGCCUACGCGACCUAUGUUCGCUCGUGCGUAUCGAGUAGCCUACGGGGCUUGGAGGGUCAGACUCAUUCCUAGGGUGGGAAUGCUGGAGCUACCACUGGCACUUAGGCGGCACAAGCCAGACCUCACGAGGAACACUUGAGACUUGUACUUCAAGUGCUUCGAGAAAAGAAGCUCUACGCCAAGUUGAAGAAGUGUGAAUUUUGGCUUAAAGAGGUGGCGUUUUUGGGCCACGUGAUUUCAUGGUCAGGCAUAGCCAUGGACCCGAGAAAGAUUGAAGCUAUCAAGGAUUGGCCAAGGCCGACGAGUGUCACGGAGAUUCGGAGCUUUCUUGGUUUGGCAAGCUACUACCGACGGUUUGUUGAGGGAUUUGCGAGAUUAUCUACUCCCCUCACGAUUCUCACGCAUAAGGGCACCAAGUUUAUUUGGAAUGAUGUGUGUGAAAGGAGCUUCCAAGAGUUGAAGCAGAGGCUGACUACCGCCCCGAUCCUAACCUUGUCAGUUACUGGAGCAGGUUAUGUGAUUUAUAGCGACGCUUCCUUUAAUGGAUUGGGAUGUGUUUUGAUGCAGGACGGGAAGGUGAUCGCGUAUGCUUCUCGCCAACUAAAGGAUUAUGAAAGGAACUAUCCUACUCACGACUUGGAAUUGGCGGCCGUAGUCUUUGCAUUGAAACUAUGGCGCCACUACUUGUACGGCGAGCGAUUCGAAGUGUAUACGGAUCACAAAAGCUUAAAGUAUCUAUUCACUCAGAAGGAGUUGAACUUGAGGCAGCGCAGAUGGUUGGAGCUACUCAAGGAUUAUGACUUGACUAUUCUUUACCACCCAGGCAAGGCUAACGUGGUGGCGGAUNAUGCGCUAAGUAGGAAAUCGACGAAAAACUUAGCGAUGUUUGUGGUUACUCAACCGCCGUUGAUCGAGCAGAUAAAGCGGUUGGAGUUUGAGGUGGUGGCUCCUGAUACACCUUUGAGACUGAUGACUUUGGUGGUGCAACCUACACUUGUGGAAAGGAUUAAAGAAAAGCAAGUCUCCGAUGUGGAGUUGCAAAGGAUUCGAGCUAAAAUAAUGAAUGGUUGCACCGGUGACUUUUCUGUGGACGGUGUGGGAUUGAUGCAUUUCUGCGUACGGAUCUGUGUACCGGCGGAUUUAGACAUUAAAGAAGAAAUUCUUCGAGAGGCACACCGAGCACCGUAUGCUAUACAUCCGGGAGGCAUCAUGAUGUAUAAGGACUUAGAGUUGCUUUAUUGGUGGCCCGGGAUGAAAAAGGACGUUGGUGAGUUUGUUGCUAGAUGUUUAACUUGCCAACAGGUUAAAGCUGAACACCGGGUCCCCGCAGGAAAAUUAUAGAGCUUACCGAUUCCGGUGUGGAAAUGGGAGAAGAUCACCAUGGACUUUGUGAUGGGAUUGCCCCGCUCGCAGGCCGGGCAUGAUGCUAUUUGGAUGAUCAUGGAUAGAUUGACGAAAUCGGCACAUUUCAUACCUAUCCACACUACUUGGACUGGUGAGAGACUCGCACAGGUAUACUUGGAUGAGAUUAUGCGAUUGCACGGGGUACCUACUUCUAUAGUAUCAGAUCGAGACUCCCGUUUUGUAUCUCACUUUUGGAGGAGUCUACAGGAUGCCUUGGGCACGCACUUGGACUUCAGUACAACUUUCCACCCUCAGAGUGAUGGGCAGUCAGAGCGCACUAUACAGACACUUGAGGACAUGCUUCGAGCCUGUGUGAUCGACUUCCAGGGAGGAUGGUCGCAGCAUCUACCAAUGGCAGAGUUUGCUUAUAAUAAUAGUUUGAUCAAGCAAGCAUCAAGAUGGCGCCAUUCGAGGCACUUUAUGGACGGAAGUGUAGAUCGCCACUUCAUUAGAGUGAAGUUGGCGAGAGAUUGGCUUUAAGCCCCGAUGUGCUCUAGGAAGCAGAUGACAAAGUUCGCAUUACUAGGGAGCGACUGUUGACAGCCCAGAGUAGGCAAAAGAGUUUUGCCGACAAGCGUCGACGGGACUUGGAGUUUCAGAUUGGUGAUCAUGUCUUCUUGAAAGUCUCGCCGACCAGAGGGAUUAGGAGAUUUGGUAUUCGGGGUAAGUUGAGCCCCCGAUUCAUUGGACCGUAUGAAGUUUUGGAGCGUGUAGGCCCGGUAGCAUAUCGACUUGCUCUACCGCCAAACCUAUCGAGUGUACACAAUGUGUUUCAUGUAUCGGUCCUUCGGAGGUACAUCCAUGAUCCGGCUCACGUGUUGGACGCUACACCAGUGGAGCUAAGGGAUCUGAGCUUUGAAGAGCAACCUUUGAGGAUUUGGCUCGCGAGGUAAAGAGGUUGCGGAACCGUGAGAUUCCCUACGUGAAGGAGCUUUGGAGCAACCACGAUGAGCGCGAGGCCACUUGGGAGUUGGAGAGCGUACUGCAGGAGCGCUAACCCCAUCUUUUUCGGAUGGGGGCUUGAGGUACUUUACUUUUGAGUUUCACGGACGAAACUCCUUUUUAGGAGGGGUGAAUGUAACACACUGGACCUUUCCAAAUUGCGAGGUUCGAGUGUUAGGACUGUGUCCUGAGCUUUUCCAGAUUUUCUGGUGGGUCGUUGACAGUGUUCCGACCUAUGGUUCGAAUCUCGAGAAUUGUAGUAUUUUAUGUAGCGCUAAGGUCACUAAAGAGUUGGACUUAGGCUACCCUCGGAUUGCAUUCUGCACGAGGUGUAACUGGUGACAUGUCGAUGGCUGUACCGGUACACAUUUUGUACCGGUACACCUUUGAUGGUCGUACCCGUACACUUGUGGCGAAUUUCAAACCCGAGCCUCGAGUUUACAUUUUCGCAGGAUUUGUACCGGUACACUUUCCCGUGUACCGGUACACUUUGGCAGAAUCUGAGCAGUUUGAACUGCAGGGGGUUUUUUGCAAUUGUGGUCUUCUAUAUAGCCAUCCACGCCCCUAAGGCUUUCUCCUGAGCUUGCCACAGCAGGAAUAGAGGUAAGGGAUCCGUCACGCCCCGCCCCGAGAUCGCUACCAAUUUGGUUCGGUUCGAGGGCGGCAAGCGGACCGCCGAACGGACAGCACCUCCCCUGUCCGCCCAAGGCUCAACAACCAUAUCAUGUACAAGAAUUUGCCCAGGAGAAAUUCAAUAACAUACAUGAUACAACGAGCACUACAAGUGCUAUACAAUUAAGAGCAAGAAUCACAAGUAACAUACGAGUGAAAUAAAGAGAGAUACGUCUAACUAUUACAUCCACAAGGCAUUCAACAUUUACAUUUUUAUUACAUUUACAUCUCCAAAAUGAAAGCAUAUUCUUCUCAUAAUACAAAAUUGCUCUCCAACAUAAGUAACUCCCAAAUACAUCACAUCUCUAUGUACACGAGGUUACUCUAAUGCAAAAGGGAAAGCUACUAGCUACUAGGGCGCUAUGCCCUUACCGCGAUCCCCUGCCGAUCCGCUCUCGCGUGUACCUGUACCCCAAAACCACACGGGGUGAGAACUAUAUAAAUAUAGUUCCCAGUGGGUUCGGCCGCCGACUCCGCCGAUCUUCCCACUAGGUCCAAGCUGGCACAAAUAGAUAGAUAGAAAGAGAUAUAUGGAAAUAACUGCUACUAUAUCUACUAUGCCAUCAAAUGCAAAGAAUGCAUGGAACAUCAUCUAGCAAUAAUCUACUAUCAUGCUAGUAUGCUUCAACAAUGUAAUGAAUACAACUACAACAUAGAUAUGCGAUCUACUAUGUCUAAUUAUGGUAUGAAUGCAAUCCACUUAUGCAAUUCAUGUUACUAACCAAUCGACUAGGCCAAUCUUGCCUAAGGUCUCAAGUCCAGGAGGUGAAGAGCUACCCCGCUCUUUUCCCGCCUAACUCAUAUCUCAAGGGUCCUAGACAAAGAGCUACCCCGCUCCUUGCCCGACUCAUAUCUCGAAGGUCCGACCCAAUCUCGAAAGUCCUAGGCAAAGAGCUACCCCGCUCCUCACCCGACUCACCUUUCGACGGUCCGACUCAAUCUCGAACAGGUACAGGGCUGCUCUACUCAAAUCUCAUAGUAAAGGUCAACCAUCACACUACUAUAUGCUCAAUAGUUUACCCAAUCACUCGGCUAGCCUAGAGGCUUACUCUCAACCUCACGUCUAUGCUAUAGGUGCCACACCUACUCUCAGUCACACUGGUGAGGAUCCGCUCACUCACCCAACUCUCGACAUAGGUGCCACAAGUCAAUCUCAAUCUAGUGGAUCAGGAACCGCUCACUCAAGGUGAGGACUACUCACUCAACCACCACUCAAUCUCAUGGGUGAGGAACCGCUCACACAAGGUGAGAACUACUCACUCAACCCAGACCGUCUGCGGGGCCCAAAAAGGCUAUCCCUCAAGCUAAUCUCAAUGGGGAGGAUCUGCUCACUCGCCCGACUCAACACCUCAAAGGGGAGGAUCUGCUCACUCGCCCGACUCACGAUCUAAUCACAACGGGGAGGAUCUGCUCACUCGCCCGACUCAACACAGGUACCACAACGCAAUCCCAAUCUCACAGGUGAGGAUCAGCUCACUCACCCGACUCACCUGGGGAGGAUCAGCUCACUCGCCCAAGACUGUCUGCGGGACCCAAACGGCUAUCCCUCGGGACCCCAACGGCUAUCCCUAUCAUGUGACGACUCCGGAGUGCACUGCUUGUGUGGAGCGACCACACCAAGCUUCGAACAGACAUAUGAGUAUGAUCAAAUCCCCGUCACUGAGGAUACCCUACCAUCUAGGGUUAACAACAUAACUCUUUAGGUUCUCUACCCGAAUCACAGCUAGGGAAAUUCAACUAAUCCCUAUACUCAAUAUCAUAAGUGUCGACUACACUAAAUUCUCAUGCCAUAUGCCAUUUCAUGCAAUAUGCCACAAACUAGGGAAAUGCACCUAUUCCCUAUGUUCAAUGCUAUAAGUGUCAACUACACUAGAUUCUCAUGCAAUAUCAUAAUUAGGUUCCAAUGCCACUCGUUAUUGUUAUGAUCAUUAUUUACAUACCACUCAUUCUCAAUACUCUAAUUGUACACAAUGACUAAGUGUUCAUUCAACUAGAGUCUAUCUACAUUAAUCUUGUCAUUAUAGGGUUUCACCACACUAUGUCCCAAUCACAUGCAUACUAGGUACAAGUAUUUAAACAAUUCAACUUUACACUACUCUACUAGCAUGCAAGAAUAUAUAUACAUAAAUAUAUAUUUAUCAUCUAGCACCAUAUAAUGCAAAGCUCGAUAUGCAUAAUUGAUCAACAUAGAGAUACUUAGACAUAGGGAGAAGCCCGAUUGCUUCGGGAUGACACCCCCCACCUUUUAUCGCUAUCACGAGGCUAAGGUUCUGAUUUCGUGAUUUUUGGAAGCUUUCGCCGCAAGCUGCGGCAAUCUGUACCUUAACGGCUUCGUUCUUUAAUAUCUUCACGUAGCCUCGUCGCAUCGCCGAACCGACUUCGCCAACGCGUCAGAAAACCUAGCAAUUAGGUUUAUAUAUAUUCAAUUUAGAUCAAAACCCCUCACAAGUAAAACCCCUCUUUUGAUGCCCUAACAUGCAACUUUGCAAGAAUUCAUCAUUUGAUCUCUAAAUUCGAGCAUCAAUCAUCUAUUUAGCAUCUAGGAGUUUCACUAAACCCAUUUCUAAGGCAUAUAAAUCACUACUUAGUAAUCUACCAUUGUUGCUAUCAAAGCUUACCUCUCAAAACCCAAGCUUCUUCAAGCCAUUGAUGACUUCAAGCCAUUGGUGAAGACAAAGAAAGCUUCACCUCUAAGCAAGCUUUUUCUUCUCCAAAUCCUCCUCCAAUUCUCUUUGGUGGAGAAAUUGCUAGAGAGAGAGAUCUUGCUCUUUGGUUGUGCACGUGAGGGAAAGAGAGAAAAGGCUACAUCCUUCAUGCAUAUAUACAUAUAGGAAACUUGACCUCCAAGUUUUCUAAGAACACUAUUCACUCCAGGCAGUUCCAAAUCUGAUAUCUUUCGCCGGAACUCCCUGAACAUCCGUUUUAGCUCAAAUUUGACAGUUAUGUUCGGUUUUACUUAACGAGUCCAAAGAAAUUUUAAUAUUUCAGUUUCGACCCCGUUUGGUCACUGAAAACUGUACCGAACUGUAAUCUUUAUCAGAUAACUGUCGGAUUUUAUUUCUCACUCUACGGGUGUCAGAAAAAUAUGAAACCUUAAAUCUAGCCUCAUAAAAAUAUUUCUGACAUCUCUGCCAAUUUUCAUAAUUUUCUGAGACUGUGCAUUUUCUGCUAAUUUGUCUGGUACCUUACAUUCUCCCCUCCUUAAAAGAGUUUCGUCCUCGAAACUAACUCAUUUCUAAUCCAACUCAUACCUCAAAUCUACUUAUCAAAUAGUUGAGGGUUUCAAUGCACUUUCGCAUCUCGGAAUGGCCUUUUCACUCGUUGGAAUAAUUCAAAGAUUCUUUACGGAGGAUGUGAGGCCAAUCUCACUCACAUUUGCUAAGCGCAACACCAAAAGUGCAUUACGGCUUCCAUGGGUGGACCGAAGAUCACCAACCCUACGUACGUCUACCGUCUAAACCUGUCGCAACCUGCGCAUCUCUCGCUCACAAGUGGAAACCCAAUUAGCACUGGGCGACAUUCUCAUUGGAGGAUUCGCACACACUCCAACCAGGAGCAACUAAGACCGCAGACCACGUCAUAUCCUCGGGUUGGGUCACUACACUCUCGGUGUAUCCUCGAUCUCGAGAUCCAACACGUGGCAUUCCACGCUCCCGGGUCUGAGCUCGGACUACCGCCCUGACCAAAACUCUGCCCUACCCGCAGGUAUCGGGCCGCUGUCACUCACAGCUGACUACGCCUGCCCAGAGGGCCCAGGCUCCACAGUCCACAAAUGGUUCAGGCACGGAUCGUCCCUAAGCACCCCCGUCGUCGUCGUCCUACACGACAUACUCUAUCGAGCCACAUAUACUACUAUCGGCUCCUAAGCACCUACUGCGAGCCGCCAGCCCUACGAGUGAUCCAUGGCCCACUUCACACUUAGCAACGCUACAGUGCUACUGCCAUCUCACUCCUUUCCUGCUUCAGCAGGCGCUACACUCUAACACGCAAGCAUGCUCAGGUAUCCACACUUGUCCACUGGUCCCUACUACACUAAUGCAUAAAUAGUAGCAACUGACCAUGGAAAUGCAUGCAAUGCACCAACUUAAUGUCAUGUAGAAGUACAUACUUGCUUCAACUAAACCAUACCUGCCAUGACGUCGCGCGCCUCAACCUCGGCAGGUUCCUCGACUUGCGCGGCAAACACCCGGCCACUCGGAGCAAACCGGGUCGCCUCAGGCUGACGCGGCACCAUAGCACGUCCGGCGGACACGGCAGUAGGUGGAGUUCCUCCAUAAGGCCCUGGCGUUGCCGGUGCCGACGCGACAGAUGGUGCAGGCAAGGCCUUCCUCGGGCAAUCACGGGCUAUGUGUCCCGCCUGGCCGCAUUCAUAACACUUCCCUCGGCGUUGCUCGCAACGCGUCGCUCGGUGGUCUUCACCACAAAUAACACACUGUUGCGCUUCACGGCCCUCAGACUGCGCUCGCGGAUACUUCGGGGGCUUCUUGAAACCCGAUUGACCCCCCGAACCGGCGCCCGGCCGUUUCUUCCCCUUAUCUCUUGACUCAGCCAUCAACUCACGCUCCUCUCGCACGUGGGCAUCGCCAUGCUCCGCCCACAAUGCUCGAUCAAAAACCUCUGCAAACGUCGUGAGCUUGAACAGUUGCACGGCCUUAUAAAUCCCCGGCCGAAGUCCUCGCAAGAACCAAUCGGCUCGGUCCCGAUCAUCUCGAACCACAUCCGGGACACAAUCUAUGAUGUGGGAGAACUCUUGCUCGUAGUCCGCUACCGAGCGAUCCCCCUGCCUCAACUUACGAAACUUCUCCUGUAGUUUUCGCUUCACUGUGUCGGGAAAAUAGUUGGCGAACAUCGCCCUCUUAAACUCGUCCCACAUCAUAGGUGGAAGAUCAGAAGGCCGAUCUCGUUUCACUCGUUUCCACCACACCUUCGCCGCUUUCUCAAGGCAAUGGGUGGCGAGAUACACCUUGUCCUUCUCCGAGGUGUAGAGAUCCUCAAAAAGCGUUUCUAUUGAGUCAAUCCAUGACUCCACCAUCGACGGCUCCACCUUCUCUCCUUCGAAAAUUGGCGGGUUGAACUUCUUGAAUCUUAUAAGAGCCGUCAACGCGCGCUCCCGCUCCACUUCCUCAGCCGCUGCAUCGGGUGUUCCCGAACCCGAAGCCGUCGGGAGCACACUUGCCGGCGGGGGACAUGCCACCACCGGAACUGCCGCUACGCCCUCACCCUCCGCCGCCUCAGGCACGCGCGCCGAGGGUGCAGGCGGAUUACGACCUUCCGUCGCCGUCGCAGCCGUCGCUGCAAUCUGCCGCUCCAUUAGCUCCUGGAGCCGAUCAAACCGACCCGCUAACGCGGUCAUAUGAGCCCGUAGCUCAUGCACCUCACUAGGAUUAGACGACUCUGGCACCAGAGGAGGUCCAGCUUGCUCUGGCACCUCGGGCGGCGGUGCCAGAACCGUCCUGCGUGCGUAGCGUCUUGGAGACAUUUGUUCCUGAAACGCAAUAACCAGGUCAAUAAACUCAACCCAUAAACUCGCUCGCAACCACGACUGACGCGACUCAACACUAAAAUCAGGCGGAAGCACACAAGUGUACUCAUUCUAGACUCUCGGUGUCAUGUUGUCGGCCGCCAACACUCUCACUUCAAGCCAAGAACUAAUACCACUUGAAUCCGUCUCUAUUCACAACUAGAGACAUAGUGACAACUUCAACCCAAUCGAAUUAUCUUCCGCCACUCGGCUUAGGUUCACGUUUCACUCACGCACCUAUAGCCUUAAGGUUUACCGUCCUAGGGUCUCCUAGGUCGUCCUAGACUCUCUCUUUUUACUUGCUCUUAACUUGCUCUGAUACCACAUUUAUCUGUCACGCCCCGAGACCGCUACCAAUUUGGUCCGGUUCGAGCGCGUCGAACAGACGCCGGACGGACAGCACCUCCCCUGUCCGCCCAAGGCUCAAAGGUAAGAUCAUGUACAUAGAAUUGCCCAGGAAUAAUUCAAUACAUACGCGAUCCAACAAGGAGAGAAGCACAAAGAGUGCAAUACAACAAGAGCAAGUAACACAAGUGUACAUACAAGUGCAUAAAGAGAGAUACAUCUAGCUAUUACUUUACAUUCUAUUUUUACAUCUUUGAUAUAUUACAUUUUCAUCUUCCAAAAUGUAAGUACAUAUUUCUUCAAAAUAUAAGUAGCCCUCUCAUAACUAUCCAAAACAUUCUCUAGUACACGAGGGUACUCUAAUGCAUAAAGGAAAAGCUACUAACUAGGCUCACUUAGGGCGCUAUGCCCUUGCCGCGGUCCUCGCUUGGCUCGCCUCUGUGUGUACCUGUACCCCAAAACCACACGGGGUGAGAACUAUUAAAUAUAGUUCCCAGUGGGUUCGGCCGCCGACUCCGCCGAUCUUCCCACUAGGUCUAAGCAGGCAUAAGCAGAUAGAUAGAUAUUUGUAACUGUAAUUGAUGCAUAUAGAAAGAAUUGCAAGGUUCUACUAUGCCUGGAGAACAAGAGUAAAUCACAUAGCCAUGUAAUCUCUAACAUGCUAUAAUAACUCUAUUAAGUAUACAUGCAAUUCUACUAUGCCCAACAUGCUCAACAUGCUCAAUAUGCUUACUAUGCUCAAUAUGCAUAAUUUCCUGAGUUCAUUACCCAAUCAUCUGGCUGGCCCAAAGGCGCGCCCUCGACUCACAACUCAAAUCCGUCUAUGAAGGGGGACUCGAACCACCCGAGGGAUUGUCUGCGGGACCCCACAUAGGCUAUCCCUUGGGACCCCACAUAGGCUAUCCCAAUCGUUUCACGUGCCAAGACUCCGGAGCUCGCACUACUUGUGCGGGGCGACCGCCACAAGCGCUGAACAGACUGUGUGAGUAUGAUCAAAUCCGUUUCCAACGAAGGUACCCGGUCGNAGGUUAAAAUGAGAUCAAACCCAAGUUUGAACCUUAAAAUUACAAAACCCUAAAUAUAGGUCCUUCACAAUACCACCCUCUCCAAUCAAGCCCCUAGCUUGAGUAAACAUGGAGGAAAACUACAAUAAACCUCUCUAUAUGCUUCAACUAGAAGCAAAAACCCAAAACUCAAACUAAAAUCACAAGAACUCACCUUUGGAGUCCAAAGCUUCUCUUCAAAGCCUUGCUCUAGCUUGGUCUUCACCUUGGAGAGCUUCUUCUCCAAGCCUUUCUCCUCCAAAACCCACUUGGUCCAAGCCCUAGAGAGAGAGAGAGAGAGAAGAAAAGGGUUUUAGAGAGAGAGAGGGAAGGUUUGAGAGUGAGAGUGAGAACAAAUGAGUUCUCACUCAUGCCCUAACCCAUAUAACCCCUCUCAAGUCAUAUUUGCAUUUAAACCCCUCAACUUUUCAUCUUUACAAACAGCCCUCACUGGGCAUUUUCGGGCUCGGAGACCGGUCUCUCCCCUUCAGGGACCGGUUCCCGAGAGCUAUCUUGCAACCUGCGCAAAAGGGGACCGGUCUCCCCCUGAUGAAACCGGUCUCCGGGGACCGGUGUCUCACCUAGGGACCGGUUCCCGAGAGCUCAGUUUCAAGGACUUAGCCGAUUUUUCCUUCUGCUCGAUUUACCAACGUUCGGGAACCGGUCUCUCACCUAAGGGACCGGUCCCUCACCCAAGGGACCGGUCCCCGAGAACAAAAAUUCUGGAAAUCGUCCAGAAUUGCAGUUUCACUCUCUCGAGUCCCUUUAUAUUUCAUACAUAGGCUCCAAUUCACUUCUAGCCUAUAGUAACUCAUCCCUUUUCGCGUUCCGCUCAUUUCGACGGAACUCGGCACGACUCACGGGGAAGUGAUAUGUUACAUUCCCCACCCCUUAAAAUUGUUUCGGCCGCGAAACUAAUUCACUCGUAAUUCAACAUCCAUACCUCAUUUUAGUUCCUCGAAGAGGUGAGGAUGACGUUCCUUCAUCACGUCCUCAAGCUCCCACGUUUCUUCUCUAUCGCCGUGUUCGCGCCAAUGGAUCUUAACAUACGGAAUUUCUCGAUUCUGUAGCUUUCGUACCUCCCGAUCAACAAUGUACGCCGGGAACUCCUAGUAGGUCAUGUCCUCUUGAAGUUCUGUCGGUAUAUACGAGAGAACAUACUCCGGAUCGUGAACAUACUUGCGGAGAUUAGACACAUGGAACACAUCGUGCACCCCCGCAAGCCUCGGCGGUAAUGCUACUCUGUAGGCCACCGCGCCAACUCUUUCUAAGAUCUCGAAGGGUCCGACAAAUCGGGGACUUAACUUUCCCCGGACACCAAACCUCUUAACACCGCGCAUCGACGAUACCUUCAGAAACACGCGGUCUCCAACCGCGAACUCGAUGUCCUUCCUUCGCUUAUUGGCAUAGCUCUUGUGCCUUGAUUGCGCCGUCACUAACCUUUGCCGGGCAAGACGAACUUUCUCCUCCGCCGCCCGAACAACUUCCGGGCCAAGAACAAUUUUCUCGCCCACCUCGCUCCAAUGAAUUGGCUAACGACACUUCCUUCCAUAUAGGGCUUCGAAUGGCGCCAUUGCAAUACUUUCUUGAUAGCUAUUGUUGUAUGCAAAUUCCGCCAUCGAUAAGUAAUUGUGCCACCCUCCACGAUAGUCAAGCACACAGGCUCGCAACAUGUCCUCGAGUAUCUGAAUGGUCCUCUCAGAUUGCCGAUCACUCUAAGGAUGAAACGCCGUACUGAAAUCGAGCCGCGUGCCUAGAGCAUCCUGCAAGCUCCUCCAGAAAUGAGAAGUGAACCGGGGAUCUCGAUCUGAUACAAUCGACACGGGAAUCCCAUGUAGUCUCACUAUCUCGUCCAAGUAAACCUGGGCCAACUUAUCCCCUGACCACGUGGUGUGGAUCGGCAAAAAGUGAGCCGAUUUUUUCAAACGGUCCACAACCACCCAUAUGACGUCAUGUCCAGCCUGCGAUCGGGGCAGCCCGACCACAAAGUCUAUCGUGACAUUCUCCCACUUCCACACCGGGAUCGGUAAGCUUUGCAGCUUCCCCGCGGGAAAACGACGCUCGGCUUUUACUUGUUGGCAUGUCAAACAUUGCGCCACGAAUUCUCCGAUGUCCUUCUUCAUACCCGGCCACCAAUAAUGCAACUGUAAAUCCUUGUACAUCUUAGUGCCGCCCGGGUGAAUACUAUAUGGGGAAUGAUGCGCCUCUUGCAACACCAUUUUACGAAUCUCAUCGUCCUUGGGUACGCACAAUCGGUUCCCGAACCUAAGUGCACCAUCGGCUCCCACGCCAAAAUCACCAGCGUGCCCAUCGUUAACAUCAUUCCGCACCUUUUGGAGAUACGGAUCUUCAACUUGCCGCUCCUUGAUUUGCUCCAACAAGGUCGGUCGAACUACUAGUGCCGCCAAGGUAGUCGGAACUUCCGGCGCCACUACCUCCAAUCCAAACCGUUGCAUUUCCCUAUGUAAUGCCGGUUGACUAGUAAUCGCCGUCGCCAAGUUUUCAACAGAUUUUCUGCUCAGCGCAUCGGCCACCACGUUGGCUUUACCGGGGUGGUACAGGAUAGUAAGAUCGUAAUCCUUUAUCAACUCUAGCCACCGCCACUGCCGCAUAUUCAACUCUUUUUGGGUGAACAAAUACUUGAGGCUUUUGUGAUCGGUAUACACCUCACAAUGCUCACCAUAUAGAUAAUGCCUCCAAAGCUUCAGCGCGAAAACGACCGCCGCAAGCUCAAGAUUGUGGGUCGAGUAGUUCUUCUCGUAGCUUUUCAACUGGCGCGAAGCAUAUGCAAUGACUCACCCAUUUUGCAUAAGAACACACCCAAGACCGGUGUAGGAAGCAUCACUGUACACCACAAAGCUCUCUCCCCGCGUUGGCAAAGCAAGUACCGGGGUAGACGUCAACUUCUUCUUCAGCUCUUGGAAGCUUCGGUCGCAACCUUCGCUCCAAUCAAACCUUCCUCCUUUGUGUGUAAGGCGUGUGAGAGGAGUAGUCAAUUUCGCAAACCCCUCAACAAAACGCCUAUAAUAGACCGCCAGUCCGAGGAAACUGCGGACUUCCGCCACACUCGUAGGACGGGGCCAAUCUCGAAUCGCCUCAAUUUUCUUCGGGUCUACCGAGAUUCCAUUCCCAGAUAUCACAUGGCCUAAGAAGGUCACCUCCGAAAGCCAAAAUUCGUAUUUCUUGAGCUUAGUAUAAAGCCUCUCAUCUCGGAGUAUUUGCAACACGAUCCUUAGAUGUUCCUCGUGCUCUUCUUCACUCCGCGAAUACACCAACACGUCGUCGAUAAACACUACGACGCACGUAUCCAACAAUGGUCGAAAGACCCUAUUCAUCAAGUCCAUAAAUGCUGCCGGGGCAUUGGUAAGCCCAAACGGCAUCACCGUAAACUCAUAGUGGCCAUACCGCGUACGGUACGCCGUUUUAUGCACGUCCUUCGGUCGGAUUUUCAACUGAUGAUAUCCUGACUGAAGAUCUAUUUUCGAGUAUACUCGCGACCCCUGCAACUGAUCAAACAGGUCGUCUAUUCUCGGUAACGGGUACUUGUUCUUGAUCGUCACCUUGUUCAACUCACGAUAGUCAACGCAGAGUGGAAGGGUGCCGUCAUUCUUCUUCACAAACAAUACUGGUGCUCCCCAGGGGGACACACUUGGCCUCACGAAGCCUUUAUCAAGUAGGUCCUACAACUGGGCCUUUAACUCUUUAAGCUCCACCGGUGCCAUUCUAUACGGGGCCUUUGAAACUGGCGCCGCACCGGGAAUCAAGUCAAUGACGAACUCGACUUCCCGAUCCGGUGGUAGUCCCGGUAACUCCGCCGGAAACACGUCCGGGUAUUCACACACUACCCGAAUGUUCCCCAACUCCGGGUGCUCCUUUUGAGGGUCCACGAUAGUUGCCAAGUAAGCCUUGCAACCACCCUUGAUCAUCCUUUUCGCCCUCACGGUCGAUAUAGUCGCCGCAAAAUGCGCGCCCUUACACGCCUGAUACUCAAACUCGUCUUGACCAGGCUCGCGAAAAGUAAUCACUCUUCUGUCACAAUCGAUGCUGGCAUAGUACUUGGAGAGCCAAUUAACUCCCAAGAUGACAUCAAAUCCCCACAUCUGCUUGAGCACUAGCAAAUCCACCGGCAUAAUCGAGUCGCCGAUUUGAACCGGACAAGCUAGGCACUAGUCGUGGACUCUAAACGAGUGUUCCGGUGCGUUAACCCACCAAUAGUCAUAAUUAUGUUCUAUGUCCAUGCCAUGCGCCUUAGCAAACGAGGCAUCAAUGAAUGAAUGCGAUGCGCCCGUGUCAAAUAGCGCUCUUGCUCUAACACCAUUAAUCAGAAUAAUACCUGCCACGACGUCGUCGGGUACGGCAGGCUGCUCCUCCACCUGAGUGGCGAAAACCCGACCACUCGGUGCACGUGAUCCCUCCGGCUGUCACGGUGAUGAAGCGCGCCCAGCCGACAUGACAGGUGGCAGUCCGGCGAGCUGUCGGGGAGCAUACUGAGCCGAAGCAGCUGACGGAGCCGGUGACGUGCCGCCCGGGCAAUCCCAUCUCAUGUGCCCCGCUUGGCCGCAUCGGAAACAUCUCCCGUCAUGCUGAGAACAUUCGCUUGGCCUAUGAUUCCCACCGCAAAUUACGCACGGGAAGGAACUCAUUUGACUCCUUGUCUGGCUCUUAUCUUGCCGCCACUGCGAUCUAGGGUGCCGAGGGGGUCGCUUGGAACUCGACUGCCCCGCGGAACCACCAGCCGGUCGCUUCUUAGACUUCUCCUUGUCCUUUUCAAACGCCUCGCGUUCCUCGCGCGCAAUGGCGUUACCGCGCUCUAUCCAUAGCGCACGAUCCAGCACCUCUUCAUAGGUCUUUAGCCGAAGCGCCUGAACCAUCUUGAAUAUCUCCGGCCGCAACCCGCGCUCGAAGACCUCCGCCCGAUCUCGGUCACCAUGAACCAAGCCGAGAACGCAGUUAACCAUGUGCGAGAAUUCCCUUUCAUAUUCACGCACCGUUCGGCUUCCCUGCCUCAACUUGCGAAAGUCCUCUUUGAUCUUCCAUUUGUCACUUUCCGGAAGGUGCUCCAUUAGCAGAAUCUCCCGGAACGCCUCCCAAGUCAUAGUAGCCGGAUCCAAGGACCGACCACCCUUCACUCUCGUCCACCACGAUCGAGCCGGCCCCUCUAAACAGUGAGCCACCAACAGAACCUUGUCCUUCUCGAGGGUGUAGAUGUCCUCGAAUAACGCCUCCAUCGCAGAAAGCCACGCCUCCAUUAAGGGUCUUUCACAUCACCCACAAAGGUCGGAGGAUUAAACCGUUUGAAGGCCGUCAACACCGCCAACGACCGCUCCUUCUCGGCCUCAAGUACCUCCGGAAUAGGGGCCGAAGAACCUGAACCUGUCGGAGGAAUAGCCGUCACUGGUGCCGCCGCCAUCGGCGUAGGCGCUACAGGUGCAGGCGGGUCCUGAGGUACAGGUGCAGCCGCCGCCGCCUGUCGAGCCACCAUGUCAUGGAGCUGCCCUAUCUGCUCCCCCUGUUGUCGCAUAGCCCCUGCCAAAGCUGCUACUUGGGCCCGCAAUUCACGAACUUCAUCAGAUCCAACCUGCUCUGGCACCUCAUCAGGCGAUGCCGGAGCGGUCCGUCGGGUAUAGCGUCUCGGUGACAUCUGUCCUGAAACGAAACGCACACGUUAAUAUUCGACAUUCGAGACUCUUACUCGUUCCAAACAUCUACCCAAUCAAGCGAAAGGAAUCAAGUGCGUUCACUUUCUACUCUCGACAUUAUGUAGUCGUUCGCCCCACAUAAUACCUUGAAAGAAAACAACCGUUCCUUGAGUCCAUCUCUAUUUCCGUUUAGAGAAGUUCCAUAAUAACCCAAUUAAUUAGCCUUCGCCAAUCCAAGUCCACGUUAUACGUAUCCUAAUUCCUAAGGUCUCCAAUCCUAAGGUCCCUAAGUCCAUCCUAGACUUUUGCUUUCACAUCGCUCUGAUACCACCAUAUCUGUCACGCCCCAAGCUCCGCCAAUUUGGUCGGAUUCAAGCACGCGACAGACGCCGAAUGGACAGUACCUCCCCUGUCCGCCCAAGGCUCCAAUAACAAGCAUAAUGCAAGCAAAACCCCAAGGAGAAUUGCGAGAUAUACAAGGUUUGCACGAAGGCAAACAACAAUCACAGUGAAAGCAUCGAACUAACUAAACAAUUGAUAUACAUGUCAUUUGAUCACAUUUGCAUCAAACACAAGUAGUCUACUACAUUCCUUUACAUCGCGAUUUUCUUUAACCAAAAUAUAAUUUACAUCAUCUUUACAUUACAUUGUUUUUACCUUACUUUCUCAACAUACAAAAGUUGAAAACAUUAAGAGUAGGGUAUGCCUAUGUAACUCCGGGGUCGCUAUCUACGGCGCGACUCCCUUGCCUCGAUCCUCCGCCGCCCCGCUCGCGUACGGAUCUGCAGGGUUAGUGGUAAUGAGAACUAGAACGAAGUUCCCAGUGGGUUCGGCCGCCGACCACGCCGAUUCGCCCACUAGGUCUAAUUCAGGCAUAUGUAUUUCAAUAAAGAAGAGUAACAAACCAACUAAUGCACUUCUAAUACAAUGCCUGCAAGAAACAAUUCAUAGAUAGAGAUAGAUAUUCAUAUUCAAAUACAUGAUUACUAUGCAUGCAUGUCCUUUUUCGCUUUCCUUUGGCCUUUACCCAAUUCAACCUGGGGUGCUCCUGGUUUACCCCAACUCACAGUCCACAUAUCCAUCUAACGGGGGAGGCACAAGGCACUACCACCCGAAGGAUCUUCGCCGGGCACGUCCACCCGUGGUGCAUUUCUUCUCCGGAGUACACCGCUCGUGGAGGAGCGACCUCUCACAAGCCGGAACCAAUACAUAUGAGUAUGAUCCCAUCCUCAAUUUUGAGGAGGUAUGGCCAACCUGUCACAAUUCUCGCUACCUCAAUGUCGAUGAAUGGUUGAUACCUAUUCAUGCACAUACUGUCACUUGUCCAUAUCACGGUGGUCCUGAUGCCACAAUACACAUAUGUCACAUGGGUUAAAUCUUGUUUAACUGUUUACUUAUCGGUGUCAAUCGAGUCACUAAUGCCAAUGUCACCCUUAUUUACUACGGUCACAGUCAUUUCUUACAUUCACAUGCAUAUAGGGUCUUUCACUAUCUUUGUUCACAUGGAUCUAUAUCAUUACAAUAAUCUUACGCAGAUAAUUGUCACAACCAACAUAUACUAUUCAUUACCCUACAUGCAAGAAUGCUAUACAUCAACAUGCUCAAAAAGAGACAUAGACAUAGAAAGAGAUCCGGUGUUUCCGGAUAGCACCCCCCACCUUUGUGUGUUACAAGGAUGCCACGGUUUUGAUUUCACGAUUUUUGGACUCGUUCGCCGCAAGCUACGACGAUCUGUACUAUUUUUGCUUGUUUUUCCAAUAUCUUCGCGCACGCUCGUCGUAUCGCCGAACCGAGCGCACCGAUGCGUUCGUAGACCUACCAAUUAGGUUAAAAUGAGAUCAAACCCAAGUUUGAACCUUAAAAUUACAAAACCCUAAAUAUAGGUCCUUCACAAUACCACCCUCUCCAAUCAAGCCCCUAGCUUGAGUAAACAUGGAGGAAAACUACAAUAAACCUCUCUAGAUGCUUCAACUAGAAGCAAAAACCCAAAACUCAAACUAAAAUCACAAGAACUCACCUUUGGAGUCCAAAGCUUCUCUUCAAAGCCUUGCUCUAGCUUGGUCUUCACCUUGGAGAGCUUCUUCUCCAAGCCUUUCUCCUCCAAAACCCACUUGGUCCAAGCCCUAGAGAGAGAGAGAGAGAGAAGAAAAGGGUUUUAGAGAGAGAGAGGGAAGGUUUGAGAGUGAGAGUGAGAACAAAUGAGUUCUCACUCAUGCCCUAACCCAUAUAACCCCUCUCAAGUCAUAUUUGCAUUUAAACCCCUCAACUUUUCAUCUUUACAAACAGCCCUCACUGGGCAUUUUCGGGCUCGGAGACCGGUCUCUCCCCUUCAGGGACCGGUUCCCGAGAGCUAUCUUGCAACCUGCGCAAAAGGGGACCGGUCUCCCCCUGAUGAAACCGGUCUCCGGGGACCGGUGUCUCACCUAGGGACCGGUUCCCGAGAGCUCAGUUUCAAGGACUUAGCCGAUUUUUCCUUCUGCUCGAUUUACCAACGUUCGGGAACCGGUCUCUCACCUAAGGGACCGGUCCCUCACCCAAGGGACCGGUCCCCGAGAACAAAAAUUCUGGAAAUCGUCCAGAAUUGCAGUUUCACUCUCUCGAGUCCCUUUAUAUUUCAUACAUAGGCUCCAAUUCACUUCUAGCCUAUAGUAACUCAUCCCUUUUCGCGUUCCGCUCAUUUCGACGGAACUCGGCACGACUCACGGGGAAGUGAUAUGUUACAUUCCCCACCCCUUAAAAUUGUUUCGGCCGCGAAACUAAUUCACUCGUAAUUCAACAUCCAUACCUCAUUUUAGUUCCUCGAAGAGGUGAGGAUGACGUUCCUUCAUCACGUCCUCAAGCUCCCACGUUUCUUCUCUAUCGCCGUGUUCGCGCCAAUGGAUCUUAACAUACGGAAUUUCUCGAUUCUGUAGCUUUCGUACCUCCCGAUCAACAAUGUACGCCGGGAACUCCUAGUAGGUCAUGUCCUCUUGAAGUUCUGUCGGUAUAUACGAGAGAACAUACUCCGGAUCGUGAACAUACUUGCGGAGAUUAGACACAUGGAACACAUCGUGCACCCCCGCAAGCCUCGGCGGUAAUGCUACUCUGUAGGCCACCGCGCCAACUCUUUCUAAGAUCUCGAAGGGUCCGACAAAUCGGGGACUUAACUUUCCCCGGACACCAAACCUCUUAACACCGCGCAUCGGCGAUACCUUCAGAAACACGCGGUCUCCAACCGCGAACUCGAUGUCCUUCCUUCGCUUAUUGGCAUAGCUCUUGUGCCUUGAUUGCGCCGUCACUAACCUUUGCCGGGCAAGACGAACUUUCUCCUCCGCCGCCCGAACAACUUCCGGGCCAAGAACAAUUUUCUCGCCCACCUCGCUCCAAUGAAUUGGCUAACGACACUUCCUUCCAUAUAGGGCUUCGAAUGGCGCCAUUGCAAUACUUUCUUGAUAGCUAUUGUUGUAUGCAAAUUCCGCCAUCGAUAAGUAAUUGUGCCACCCUCCACGAUAGUCAAGCACACAGGCUCGCAACAUGUCCUCGAGUAUCUGAAUGGUCCUCUCAGAUUGCCGAUCACUCUAAGGAUGAAACGCCGUACUGAAAUCGAGCCGCGUGCCUAGAGCAUCCUGCAAGCUCCUCCAGAAAUGAGAAGUGAACCGGGGAUCUCGAUCUGAUACANCUCUAGCUUGGUCUUCACCUUGGAGAGCUUCUUCUCCAAGCCUUUCUCCUCCAAAACCCUCUUGGUCCAAGCCCUAGAGAGAGAGAGAGAGAGAAGAAAAGGGUUUUAGAGAGAGAGAGGGAAGGUUUGAGAGUGAGAGUGAGAACAAAUGAGUUCUCACUCAUGCCCUAACCCAUAUAACCCCUCUCAAGUCAUAUUUGCAUUUAAACCCCUCAAUUUUUCAUCUUUACAAACAACCCUCACUGGGCAUUUUCGGGCUCGGGGACCGGUCUCUCCCCUUCAGGGACCAGUUCCCGAGAGCUAUCCUGUAACCUGCGCAAAAGGGGACCGGUCUCCCCCUGAUGAAACCGGUCUCCGGGGAUCGGUCUCUCACCUAGGGACCGGUUCCCGAGAGCUCAGUUUCCAGGACUUAGCCGAUUUUUCCUUCUGCUCGAUUUACCAACGUUCGGGAACCGGUCUCUCACCUAAGGGACCGGUCCCCGAGAACAAAAAUUCUGGAAAUUGUCCAGAAUUGCAGUUUCACUCUCUCGGGUCCCUUUAUAUUUCAUACAUAGGCUCCAAUUCACUUCUAGCCUAUAGUAACUCAUCCCUUUCCGCGUUCCGCUCAUUUCGACGGAACUCGGCACGACUCACGGGGAAGUGAUAUGUUACACUUGUGGUCAUGUAGGGACAUACUUGUUCAUUAUGAAAUAAAGGUGCAUCUUAAUUGACACAAUGUAGUAUCUUAGCAUUUUAAUUAUGCUUUCUUAAAUGCAAAUUAUUCAUUACUAUUGCUCUUUUUGACUUACCCUUUCUUUUGGGGCCUAGUGGUGCAUUGAGCUGAGGUCAGUAAUUGCCCACUGGGAACUAUGAAUUAUAGUUCUCACGCCCUCUGUUUUAUAUUUUCUUUCAGAGCCUUCCACGCCGGGAGAGGCUAGGGACCGUGGGAAGGGCGUUGCUUCGAGCUAGCUCUUUAGUGAGUGACGAGUUGCUAGGUGGUCUGCCUCUCGAUGUAUUUAUUUUGGAGAGGUUGAGAGCUGUACCAGUGUACUAGAGACCACCCUUUUGGAUACUAUUUUGGAGAUGAUAUUGUAUAACCUUAUAUUUUUCACUCUUAUUGCUAUAGUAUUAUCCUUUUAUCUUGUUCUAGAUGAUAGAUCUAGUUGUGCUCUGAUAUCUCUAGAUAUUGUUUAUCCUUGGUUUAUUUUUCGCAGUUGAUGUAGACGCCUUAUAUAUGUUGACAUAUGGCGGGUCAGAGCACGCUACCGGGAAGGCCCCUGCUGGUCCCGGGGCGUGACAUUAAACAUUCUAAAAUUCUCAAAUAUUCUAUCUAGUAAGAGUAUGCGUGCAUUUUCAUUUUACGAAAGGUAAAAACCAUCAUAGGGAUGAUUUAUCCCAUUUUCGUGAGGUCAAACCCACCAAGAGUUCCACGCGGCCUUCGUUCGCGCCGACAAAGGUGCCCACGAGCCUCCUAGCUCCCUAAAGGUUAAAGUAGGAGCGAUAUACGAACGUUACGAACAAUGAAUAGGUUAAACAUUAACCAACUCAAUCCAAUAGUGGUGAAAAUCCAUCACAAGCUCCAAAUGGGAGCUAGAACCCUUCCAAAGCAACCUAGAUCAAGGUUCUAAGAAGAUCAAUUGGGCUUCAAAAGCCUCAAAUAAAAAAUCCCCAAAACAAACCCUAAAUCCUCAUUUAUAGGGUUUCUAUACAAAAAUUAUGUAAAUCAUGAUCUAGAGAGGGGAAAUAAGCGACUAACCUCAAGAGAAGCUCCAAACCACCUUAGAAAUCAGCUAGGGUUGAGCUCCUUCCCUCCAACAAGCUCCAAACACCAAGCCCAAGCUUCUCCCAGGGUGGAAAAGCCACCAAGAUGCAAAAAGAGAGCAAAAAGAGAGUUUAAACCUCAAAAUCCCCACAUAAAUCAAAGCAAAACAAGGAGGAGAAAUGGAGGGCUCCCUUACCUUCUCUUUCUUGUUUCCAAGCUCAGGGAAACACCAAGGGUUCGUGGGGUAUGUAUAGAGAAGCAAUAAAAGCAAAUAAGCCCCUCAAAAACCGUCAGUUCGCAGUGUGGCAAAGUGUACCGGUACACGAGAAAGUGUACCGGUACAAAACUCUGUACGCGCAAACCCGAGCCUCGGGUUGGCAGAGAACAGCCAUUUGUACCAGUACAACCAUCAAGGUGUACCGGUACAAAAUGUAUUCCGGUACAUCCAUCAAGGUUGUACCGAUACAAAGCCCUGCCGAGGCUAAACCGAGAGCAGACCAAAAAUCCAUCUUUUUGGGUUUUGGUGCAAAGUUUUAAACCACAAAUCUCGGGAUGCGAGCCAUAGGUCGGAACACUAUCUACGACGCUCAUGAAAAAGUGGAAAAGCUCGAAACACAAAUCAAACACUCGAACCUUGCAAUUUGCAAAAGUCCAGUGUGUUACAUUCUCCCCUCCUAAAAAAGAGUUUCGUCCGCAAAACUGCGGGUCAACCACAAAACGGACCCAUCCAAAGAGGAUGGAAGAAGCGCUCCAGCAGCGCCCCAAACAGACCAUGGAGGUCUCAAGCGUGCCGGAAAACUCCAAGGCACAAACACAACAAGAUCUCGCGACGCCAAGGCUUUGGCAUAACACAAGCCAAACUUCCGUGAAAGCUCUUCAAACUCAAGUCCUUACCGGGAAGAUCCAUCUCAAAUCCAUGCUUAAUCCAAAUGCCCGUCAGUGGGUCCUCAUAAAACCAAGUGCUCCCAAAGGCUAAAUUCCAGUCCUCACCUUCCUCGUCUAAGCUGAGGGCAAAGCUUAACUCUUAAAUAUAAAAUUCCAUCAUAUAUCCUUCUGAGGCGGAUUCAAUGGUGCCAUCAGAAUCCGGGGGUUACACCCGUUACCCAAUUCAUCUAAACUCCACCGGAGUACUCACGUGAACAUCACUCACCAAAGUGAGGUGAGACAGCAUCGAAUCGUCAACUCAAAUCCCAACGAUGAUCUCACAAUCCAAUAUCAAAUCCAGUCACGAGAUUACACAUCUGGGUACCAUUCUAUUCCAUAAUUAAGUGUGGUGUAAUUCCACAUGGCUACCAUUCCAAAAUGCUUGGCACGAACGGCUCCGCAAUCAACAUCCACGGUAACAAUCCUUCCGAUAGCAACGGAAACCGACGAAUUGUCCAAAUUGCUCACCACAGUGAUUACUUGAUUCCUCAAUCGGCAUUGCUCCACAAUCCCUCCGCAUCAAUCUCAAUUCCACCACUUGGGGAAAAAUUCUCAAAUCCACUACUGUAAAUAUGGUCAAAGACCAAGACUCAGUAAUAUCCUCAAUCCGCUAAGGUCAUUCCCUUUGUUUCAACUCGAUGCCUCAAAUAACUCUUCGUAAGCCUAAGUCGAGGGCUUAUCUUCGAUAGAAUAUCUUAUACAUUAACCAUCCAGUUGCUCAUGAAAAAUCACUCAACAUUCUCAUCCUCGAUGCCUUCCUUAGCAUCAGAUGCUCCAGAUGUCCAUAGUCACUGAGCCCAACUCAAAUGAUAGGGAGAGUUGUAAUAUACCAGAUUUUGGUAUAAAAAUAAUAAUAAAUAAAAAUAGUGUGAGAAACUAUUUUUAUUAGAUUUAUAGAGGUAAAAUAUAAGUCAGAAGUGACCUGUGCUGAAAUCGGAAUUAAAACAGAAGAUCUAGAAUUUUCUGUUGGAGACGGGACAGAAAAAUAAGCAGAAAAUGCACAGUCUCAGAAAAUUAUGAAAAUUGGCGGAGAUGUCAGAAAUAUUUUUAUGAGGCUAGAUUUAAGGUUUCAUAUUUUUCUGACACCCAUAGAGUGAGAAAUAAAAUUCGAAAGCUAUCUGAUAAAGAUUGCAGUUCGGUACAGUUUUCAGUGACCAAACGGGGUCGAAACUGAACCAGUGAUCGUCAGCUUGUUAAGUUAAGUAAAACCGAACAUGACUGUCAAGUUUGAGCUCAAACGGAGAUUCAGGGAGCUCCGGCGAAAGUUAUCAGAUUUUAAGCUGCCUGGAGGUGAAUAGUGUUGGGGUGUAAUUAAAUAGAAGCAUGAUGCUUCUUCUUCCUCCUUCAGCCGUGCACACCCACACACACCUCACGCACACAUGGAGAGAGGAGAGAAACUCUCCUUUCUCUCUCUAGAGAUCUCUCUCAUUUCUCUAUAUCUCUCGCUCAAAUUCGCGGGGUUGGUGGAGAAUAUGCUUGCGAACGCGUUGGAGGCGACGGAUUGAGCUUUCGUGCGCCCGUUGGAGCGGUGUGUUGUCGUCGCGGCGUUCACAUUGAGGUAAGCUUUUAGGAUUUGGCUUAAUCCUUAGCUUUAAGUAUUCUAAUAGCCUCUAAUGAGCUUUGUUAGCAUGUUGAUCCAUUUAAUUUUGGAUUAUUUUGAGGUUAAUAGCAUAUUAGGGCUCCGAAUGGGGUUUUGUAAAAUGUAAGGGUUUGAUCUAAAUUGACCCUAUAUAAACCUAAUUGCUAGGUAAACGAACGCGUUGGCGAAGACGGUUCGGCAAUCCGACGAGCCGUUGCGAAGUUAUUAAAGAAACGGACGUUUAGGCUUCGGGUCCGCCGGGAGGGCCGAGGCGAUAUCGUAAAUUCAUGAAAAUGGAUUUGAAGCUUCGUGGCACAUAACCGAAGACCUUUAAUUUUCGGAUCGUGAAUUGGAGGCCGUUCGGGUGGUCGCGUGAGAGAUCGGGCCAAACCGGGUUACGGGUGCCGCGGGAGGCCGAUUGCAAGUGUCGACAAGCAAUCGGAAUGCGAAAUGAGGUGGGUUGUGCUCACCGAAGCGAUUAGGUCGCUUUCCAUGCUAAAGUGUAGUAUGUUUACUAUUGACGCAUGAUAAAGUAUGCUAUUUAAGAAUGCAUGAUAAAGAUUAAAGUAUGCUAUUUGAGAAUGCAUGAUAAAGUAUGCUAAUUAAGAAUGCAUGAUAAAGAUAGAUGCCAAAUGAAUGCAUGAGUUGAUGUUAAUUUAUAUGUGCAUAUUAUAGAAAUGCUAAAUAGAUGUCAAAUGAAAGUAUGAGAUUUGUACUAACCGAGAAUGCAUGUAGUAAAUGUUAACGAAUGCAUAAAAUGCUAAGUAAUGACUACCAAUGGAUGACAAAAUAUAUGCAUGUUGAACAUAGAUCGAGUGGCAUUCGAAAUGGUAAAGUGGACACUAGAGUUAGUGUGGGACAUCAAAGAAUAAAUGUGAUGUAAAGAACAAUGAUAAUGGCUAAAGAUAAUGUAAAACAAUGUGAUGAUAAUAAUGUAAUGUUGCAUGAUGUGAGUACACGUGCUUAUUAGAAUGAUUAAGAAUCUAAAUAAUCUAUGUGUAUGCAUGAGAUGUAAUGUGAGAACCUAAUGAUAAUGGCUUGAGACAAGGCAAAGCAAUGUGAUGUAAAGAAUAAUGAUAAUGGCUAAAGACAAUGUAAUGUAAUGUGGCAUAAAGAACGUGUAAAGUUAAAGAAUGUGAAAGCUAAAGAUAGCUUAAAGUAAAGGAAUGUGAAAAACGUGAUUGCUAGAGUUAGCAAAAGUAAAAGAGAUGUAAAGAACAAUGAUUGCUAGAGUGGCAACAUAAAGUGAUGUAAAGAACACUAGAGUUAGUGUAAAACCAUGAUCCAACUACAUAUCCUUAGAGUUAAGGAUUGAUCAUACUUGCUAUGAGUUCCGUGCUCGAGGGCGGUCGCUCCCCCUCGGGCGAUGCGCUCCGGAGUUUGGCAUCCGGGUUGGAGUAGACCCGUAAGGACGGUCCUAGCUGGUGAGUUCCUGCGAUGAUGGACUUAAUGUGAAGCAAGUUAAUGUGGCGAAACCCCCGGGUUAGCCGUGAGAUUAAAGAACAAAGAACAAAAAGGAAUCAUGAAUUGGAAAGUGGAUCUUGUAUUCAUUAUGAAUUGACUCAAGACCGAGUCGAGUGGCAUAGUUGGCUAGGGUAAAGGUAACCCUGUGAAAGAAUGACAAUUGAGAAAGAAUGACAAUUGAGAAACGUUUGUUAAUGUUAUAAAGAAUGGCAAAUGUGUAUAAUGCGCCUAAGGUGCGAGUGCCCUUAGCAAAGAAUAAAGAAUAAAGAAUAAAGAACAAAGAAUAAAGAAUAAAGAAUAAAGAACAAAGAAUAAAGAAUAAAGAAUAAAGAAUAAAGAAUAAAGAAUAAAGAAUAAAGAUUAAAGAAUAAAGAAUGGCUAAUGAUAAAGAAUUGCAUAUUCUAAAGAAAGGCUAAUGGUAAAGAAUGACUAAGAGUUGCAUAAUUUGCAUAUUUGUGAGGCAUGAACAUGUAUUGCAUGAUGUUAUAUAUAUAUAUAUCUGUUGGACUAACAUGUUGCAGUGCCUCCUUUGGACCUGGUGGGUUGAGCUUUUCACUUGGGUGGCUGUACCCACUGACGACUAUGGACAAUAGUCUCACCCCCGUGUUGUUGUUUUUGGGGGUACAGGUUCACACGCGAGCGGCGCGGCGGCGCGAGGAAAGGGCGUAGCUCCGUAGUUAGCGCCCUACCACAGAGACCAGAUAGCAGCACCCUGAGUCGGCUUCUUAGGGGUAUAAGAAAAGAAAACAAAAGAAUUGAUGUUGUAAUAUUUUGUUUAGAAAUCGAUUGUAUAUUUGGAAGUUGAGAAUCAAUGUAAUGAAAAAUGCAAUGUAAAAUGAUGAGAUGAAUGAUUGUAAUAACAUAGGAUGUGUUAUGUUGAUUGAUACCUUCCUUAUGCAAUCGUUGUUGAAAAUUGUUCCUGUUUGGAACCUCUUGUACUUGUAUUGAUUGCGACGCCUUGAACGUACAGGGGAGACUCUGUCCGCGUGCAGGGGAAACCCUGUCCGUUCGGCGGUCUGUUGGCGUGCCCGAAUCCGACCAAAGAGGCGGGCUCGGGGCGUGACAAGAGUUCCAUCCACAAUUUAGUAAUAGCUCUCUAUCAAUGUCAUCCUAAUGUGACCAUCAACCAGAUAUCAAUCCAAACAACUCUCUCACGCAGUUUCCAUUCCCAAGAUUUUGAUUCCUGGUGCAUAAUCCGGACAAGGAAAAAUAGCAACUUGGUAUGUUUCUCUCUCGAGUUUCCCAACCACUCGAUCCAACUGUGAGAGUUUCACACCUCGAGAACGUUAAUCUGCCUCGCAGUCGAUCCUUGCAAAUCUUCAUUGGAAUAUUCAUGGCCAUCCAUGACCGGUUCCACAAAUCCAUCCAGAGUGCUUGGAAUUACCAUUCAGCAAGUCCCUAACACUGGUGGAGUACUACGGGCUUAGACAACAUCAAGAUCACCCUCGUGAUGUCCCAACCCAGCACCAAAAUCCGUUUGAGGCACAGCCUCCAAACUCCAACUCAUACGGUGGUACUCAGAUUAUAUCCGAAUCUUAUCGAGUACCCCUACAGCUCAAGGCUAUUGUAAAGUUCAAUGAGCCUCUACAAAGGUCCAAAUACUAAUCGUGGUUCGGUUUAGAUCACGACAGCCGACAUACAGUCGAAAUGACCCAUCCGGUCCCACAACAGGUGGGAAUGCUCCUUCACGAAGCAAAACACUAGGUACAAAUGUCACGCCCCGGGACCGGCGGAGGCCCUCCCGGUGGCGUGCCCAGACCCGCCAUAUGUCUACACAUAUAAUGUCACGCCCCGCGACCGCUACCAAUUUGGCUCGGCCCGGGCGCGUCGAACAGACGCCGAACGGACAGCACCUCCCCUGUCCGCCCAAGGCUAACAACGAGAUUGUGUAUAACAAGUUCCCAGGAAAAUAACUUGAAUACAUACACAAUCGAUAACUACAACGAGAGCACAAUCAGUGCAAAACAACCAAGAGCAAGAUACAAGUAUAGAACAUACAAGUAAUGAUAAAGAGAGAGCAUCUAUCUAUUACAUUCAUUCAGCCUUUAUAAUACAAUUUGAUUAUACAUUGAACUUCCAAAAUAUAGUAUAAAGCUUACAUUCAUCCCAGAAUAUCUCACAUCCUAUACAUCAUCUACUCUCAAAGCAAUAAAACGGUAACUCUAAUGCAGAAAUUAGCGAAAGUAGACUAAUGCAACUAGGGCGCUAAGCCUGUACCGCGAUUCUCGCCGUGUGAUCGAACUAGCGCUCGGCCUUGUAGUAAAAAUGGUCGGGUGAAAUAAUUCCUUAGUUCCAGUUGGUUCGGCGCCUUACUCCGCCGAUCUCCCACUAGGUCACAGUCGGGCACAAGUAGAUAAUCGAUAAAUAGGAUGAUAGGGAAAGGGUAAUGACAGAAGUAAGCUCUCUAAUAUGCCAAUAUGCAAUGUUGAUCAUUAGAACUAUAGACAUUAAAAGGGGAGUCCCGAUUGUUCGGGAUGGAACACCCACCUUUUAUAGCGUUCGAUUGCUGUACGGGUCACUCGCCCUCGGCUCCUGCGGCCGAUGACACACCCGCCAGCACGCCGCAAUGGCGACCAAACUCCACGCGGCGACUGCCACAUGACACUCCUAUCCGCGAUCGUCUGCUGGAGUUUAUCUUUCACCGACCGACGGAUGCUACGUUCCAGAAUUUUUUUUCCAUGUAUUUUUGGAAGCUGUUGACCGCAAGCUGCGGCACUGUUACAAAUCCGGCCUUUCUUCGAUAUCUGUAACGCUCGAGGGAUGCAAACGUCGUUCCCAACGCGUUGUUCGUGACUAUCAAUUAGGUUUAUAUACAACAUUUAUGAAUCAACCAGUCUAUUUGAAAACUAGCAUUUGAGCCUAGGUUCAUACUAGACAACUAACCACCAUUAAACUAUGGAUUAAGCAGAAUCCAUUCUAUAUAGGCAUUAGGCGAAGGUAACUACCCAUUUCUCAAGCAUUAGGAUCGAACUCUAGAAAUUACUUGAAUGGGGUUAGCAGCUUACCUCUUAAGCUUGUCUAAUGUGAGAGAAGAGAAGAUGAUGAUGGUUCGGUGAGGUAAUCUUCUUCUCCUUGUCUUUUUCCUUUUUCCUUCUUUUCUUUCUUUUUUUACUUCUUUUUCAGUUAUGAGAGAGAUAGAGAGAGAGAGAUGUGGGGAGGUAGAGGGAAUGAGAGAAGAGGAGAGUAAGUCUCUCUUAACACCCCUUCAUAUUGUGAACAUUUCCAAAUAAGCCCUCUACUUCUCAACUUUGCAAGCCAAAUGGGUUACUAUUCUGCACGCUCGGGGACCGGUCCUUGCGGUGAGAGACCGGUCCCCGAAGGACCAGAAUUUCAGCAUUUUUAGGACUUAGCCAAAUUUCAGCCCUUUUCGUUUUCGGGGUCCGUUUUCGCUCGUUUUUGCUCGUUUGACCUCCGAUUCGUCUCAAAUCGAACCGAGACUCUCCAAACAUGUUUUCAAACAUGUUUUCAUCAUCUUUCCAUCCUCCCUAAUGCCGGAUUUAGCUCACGGCCCAACAUGGCCUUUCGGCUCCGUUUUAGCGCCUAUGCGCACCGAAACGCCCGAUUGCUUCCGGACCUCACCGAACUUCACCGGAACCUUUCAAAUGGUCUUCCAACCAAAUGUACACCGUAACUUCAUUAUUUUAGAAGUCCGAUACCUUACAUAUAAGGCGUCUACAACAAAGCGGAAGUAAAAGCAAGAAAUAGAACGAAUAGAAUAAUAACAACUAACGAUAUUAGAGCGAGUAAGGUUCUAUCAUCUAAACCAGAGUAAAAGAAAUAUAACUAAACAAAGUAAGUAAAGCAUCAGGUGAUACAAUACUAACACCUCAAAAGAAAUACCAAGAUCCAAAAGAAAGGUGGUCUCUAUACAUAUACGGGUACAACUCUCAACCUCUCACAAAAUAAAAACAUCGAGAGGUAGACCACCUAGCGACUCGUCACUCGCUGAAGAGCUAGCUCGAAGCCACGCCCUUUCCUCGAUCCCUAGCCUCUCCCGGCGUGGAAGGCUCUGAAAGAAAACAUAAAACAGAGGGCGUGAGAACUAUAAUUUAUAGUUCCCAGUGGGCAAUUACUGACCUCAGCUCAAUGCACCACUAGGCCCCAAAAGAAAGGGUAAGUCUAACAAUAAUAGUAACGAGUAAAUUGCAUAUAAGAAAGCAUAAUUAAGAUGCUAAGCUACGACUUGCAAUUAAACAUGGCAUUUAUAAUGCGACUUUAUCUUGUCAUGGAUAAUAUAUAUCUAUAUGUUCACAAGUAAUAUCAUGAUUUACUUUAUACAGAUAUGAAAGUGGUACUUUGUCAUGACUACAAUGCAUAUAAGGAUGCAAUAAACAACAUCUCCUAGCAUACUACAUGUAUGUAUGAAUACCCAAAUGUCCACAACUAUGCUAGAAGUAAGUCCAUGUAAUCCUACUACCACUCUCUGUCUAGUAGUGAUCAUAAUAAACUCAACACCGUGUCGAUUUUCAUUUCCAAUUAAGGACCUACCAAAGGUAGUCCAGCUUGUGCCGCCUAAGUGCCUGUGGUAGCCCGACAUCCCUACUCUUGGAAUGUGUCUGUCCCACUCGACCCCGUAGGCUUCUCAAUACCGCACGAGCGUACAUAAGUCGCGUAGGCUAACUCCGGAGUGCCGGCUUGUAGGGAGCGACCCUCACAAGCAUGUGCGAAUGAGCACAAAUGACAAGCAAGCAUAGUCAACGUCUCAAAUACCCAAUCAUCAUGUCUCUAACAUGGCAAUAUUUACUAGCAUCUCGAAGAUCUAGUUCUAUGUCACAAUGUGAAAUUCUAAUAUUCACUAAGUCUAGUGCCCCUUUAUGACACUUAGACAUUUCGAUGAACAAGCACACUCCAACUUUCUCAAUGGCACUAUCCACUAAAUUCACAUGUAACCGGAGCUCAAUGCCCCUUUAUGUCAUUAGCCCAACUGUACACAAGUAGUGCAAAUCCCCGAGCCCCUUUAUGGCUCACUAGGAACUUUAAAAUCUUAAAUAGAAAUAACUUUAAAUGCAUGCAUGAGAUACUCAUUUUCACCCUAGGAAUUAUGCUUCCAAGUCUCAAUAGGAUGCUAAACCUGUUCAAGUUCCACAUGCUAGCUCUCUACUACACAUAGAGGUCCGAAAUUUUCACCACAUGUAACGUAGGCAAAUUAAGCCUUCUAAAAAUCAUAAUAAAUGUAUCUAGCAUGGAAAUGCAUGAAUAAACAUUUAACAGUACUCAAAUCAACACCAAUGAGAUUUUCUCAUUGUGUGGCUAGGCUAAACCCACCGAACCGUCGCGUGCUCCUUCGAUUCGCCGAACGGAGUUGUCCACGAGUCUCAAAGUACCCUAAAAGUGAUCAGCGAAGAGAUACGAGGGCAUUACGACCAACCAUAAGAUCAAACAUUAACCUAGAAGCAAAAAGGGCCAAAACUCACCUCAAGAGAAGAAAUCUCUUCCAAAGCUCCAAAAGAGAGCUAGAACCCUUCCAAUCCAAGCCCAAGGAAGGUUCUAAACCAAUUAAUCUAGCCUCAAAAGCCCUAGAUCAAAAAGCCCCAAAAUAAGCCCUAAAUCUCCAUUCUAGGGUUCCAUCUACAAAAACUUUCAAAACAAGAUCUAGAGGAGGGAAAUGAGCAACAAACCUCCUUAGAAGCUCCAAUCCUAGCUCCAAGGGUGAAGAUCUCCUCCUAUGCAAGCUCCAAGUCCAAGCCUUCAAGCACCAACAAGGUGGGAAGAGGAAGAAAGGCAAAAGAAUGCUCCAAGCCCAAGCUAGAUCCUCCUCUUCUUCUCCUCCUUCCUCUCCUUCUCCUUCUUCUUCUUCUUCUCUAUCAAGGGUGUAGAGAGGGUUGAGAGAAGAGAAAUGGGGAGAGGAGAGAGUGGAUGGGUCAUAUAGACCCUCUAAUGUAAUAAAAUCCCAAGAGGCCCCUCAAAAAAAUAGUAUUACAUCAGCCCGGUUUGGGCAGUUUUCGCCCAGAGGGACCGGUCUCUCCCCAGCAGGGACCGGUCUCUCGCUGCGAACCCGAAAAACCAACGUUCGGGAACCGGUCUCUCCCUGCGCGGGACCGGUUGCCUUGCCGCCUGCGCACACUGUUCACUGGGGGGAUCGGUCUCUCAUAUCAGGGACCGGUCUCCGAGAGUAAAACUCUCAGGACUCAUCCAGAACUCAGGUUUUCGAAAUUUUUAGGUCAGAAAAGCAUUCUACAACCCUCCACCAAGUGUGGAAAAGCUCGAAACACAUCCAAUCACUCGAACCUCGCAAUUUGCAAAGGUCCAGUGUGUUACAACAAACCUCCCCGCUAAUUGAGUUCACACUUCGUGUCUCAAUCGGGAAAACAACACUCGGAAGACAUCCUCCAAUUCGAGGAUUCUCGAUCAACAAAUGCUAUCGGCCAACUAGGCCCCAAAUCCUCUCCAAAUACCCAAUUUUGGGUAGAGAGACAGUCGACGCUACUAGCGGAACUAAAUCAUCAAAUCGCACUAUUUCGUGCACAAAAUCCUCAAGGCGAGUCAAGUCAGCUCGCAUUCCAAGGGUACUAGGUACCCACAACAACUCCACACUAAGUAAGGUCAAUCCAUAGUUGGCGCACAAAACCUUCUCACAUGGUAGGGUGUUCGAAACGACACACCCGAUCAAUCGAUCAUCCUACAUGCGUCGAAAAAGCUUAACGCUAACAAAUCCUCGGGUUGGGUCACUACACACUCGGUGUAUCCUCGAUCUCACGAUCCAAUACGUGGCUUCCACGCUCCAGGGUCUACGCUCGGACUACCGCCCUGACCAAAACUCUGCCCCACCCGUAGGUACCAGAAGGAUGUGUCACACAACUACUGUGCCUGCCCAAAGGACCCAGGCUCCACAGUCCACGAACGGUCCAGGCACGGUCAUCCCCAAGCACCAUCCGGCGAAAAACCGAUCAAAGAAUGCAACUAAUGCAAUCAUCAUGAGAUCUACAAGCAUAACAAACAUGCUACCCGCAAACUCGCAAAUCAAUCGCCUAGCUCGAGGGGGCUACUCAAAGUCGCACACAGCGAACUAACGAAAUACCAUGCAACUUGGCAAAUAGCUGGUCAGAGUAUGGAUGCAAUGUACUAGUAACAAACAAUGCACAACUCGAAUGCCACAAAAGAAACUGAUACCUGUAGCCACAAACUCGGCCGCUGCCGCCUCCUCAGUCUGGGCCGCAUACAUGCGCCCGCUCGGGGCCUGUCGUGACCCCAUCUGUCUCUGGACAGGUGGCCUCCCGGCCUGAUAGUGAGCUGAAGGCAUCCCCUGGCUGGGACCCGGUAAAGCUGGUGUCGAUGGUGAAGAUGGCAUUGGUACUAAGCCCCUAGGGCAGUCCGACUGGAAGUGACCCUCCUGGCCAUACGAGUAGCACCUGCCCCGACCCUGCGAGCACUGCCGUGGGUAAUGACGACCACCGCAAAUCACGCAGCUCAGAGUCUGGCGACGCUCAGAUCUUCCUUGCUGUGCAGAUGUGCCCCGUCCUCGCGAUUGGCUCCUAUCACUGGGAUGUCUCGGCGGCCUCCCAAAGUGCGUCUGACUCGCACCCUCAGCCGCGGGCCAUUUGCCCUUUCCUUUGUCCGAGCCUUCUCGACGUUCCUGCAAGUCCGCCACGCCGCUCUCCACGAUGAGCGCGCGGUUUACCAUAUCUCGGUAAGUCUGAAGGUUGGAGGAUUGCACCAACUGAAAGAUCGACGGUCGAAGUUCUCGCUCAAAGAUGCGGGCCUUGUCCUCGUCGUCCCGCACAACGAAGGGCACACAGUGUAGAAGCCGAGAGAACUCCCUCUCAUACUCAGCCACGGUCCGAUCCCCCUGGCGCAUCUCGUACAGAUCCUGCUUCAUCUUCCUAUUAACAUUGACGGGGAAGUAAUGCUCCAAUAAGAGUUCCUUGAACCUCUUCCAAGAAAUUGCUGCUAGGUCGGUGUUGGGAUUGUCCUGACUACCCAACCACCAGCUAUCGGCCUCGUCGUCCAAAUGGUGAGUGGCGAGCCAAACCCUAUCUCUCUUUUCCACGAAGGUGUCGCGGAACAACUUCUCCAUGUGCAUCAACUACUUCUCAACGAUCCAGUGGUCGGCUUUCUCUCCAUCAAAGAUCCUGGGAUCGCACCUCCUGAACUCGUUGAGGCGAUCCAUGAACUACUGUCGCUCUGCUUACUCAACCAUCACGGAAAAAACCACCGCUGCCACAGGCACCUGAGCUGGUGGUGCCGCAAAUACCUCCUCCCGAGGUGCUACCGCAGGUACCGUCCGCAAAGUGUCGAGUGCAGGGGACGACCGCCUGGGUGCAAUCGCCUCUACCGGCGCUGGUGGUGUAGGAACCUGAGCCUCCCUGGUAGCCGCCUGCUGCAGUAGAAGGUCCUCUAGGCGCUUCAUCCGCGCCUCCUGUCGGCGCGCUGCCUUCGUCUGCAGUGCCACCAUAUCAGUGAGGGCCGCAAGCUGGCCCCUCAACUCAUGGACCUCGCCGGAUCUUGAGGUAGCGGAGGUCUCGACCUCCUCCAAGUUUGCCGCAUUAUUCGCUCGGGCAGAUUGGGAGCGUGUAAUCGGCAUCGUCACUACAGUAUCAUAAAAGCGCAAGUUAGGAAACUCACGCUAUCGAAUCCCUGUUCAAGAAGGUAAAACCCAAAUCAUGCGAAAGUAAGGAAGUGUGCUUCACUACUAACCCCGAUGUUACGUUGUCGGCCGCCAACGUAACCCUUCACGAAGUUAGAAGCCAUACACUUCGAUUCAACCCUAUCUUUUUAGAGUUACUAAGGUACCCAAUCACGAUAUUUUCGUUUACAAGUCAAAUAGAUCUCGUCUCUCACAAGCCUAUUUCCUAUAGUCCAACCGGCCUAAGGUUUGCUAGGUCCACUAAGACUCAACUCUAGGCUCUGAUACCAAAUUAAUCUGUCACGCCCCGGGACCCGGCGUAGGCCCGCCCAGUGCGUGCCCAGACCCGCUAUAUGCUUACACAUAUAAGGCUUCAAGACUAAAAGCGAAUAAAUGAACAAAAAGUAGAAAGUAUCUAGAGAUAUCAGAGCAAAUAUACAGCUAGGUUCUAUCAACAAGUAGAGUCGAAAGAGAACUAAACCACUAAAGCAUAAAGUAAACUAAUACAUCAUCAAUCUCAAGAUACAAAAGUAGGGUGGUCUCUAUAACCAGGUACAACACUCUCACAACCUCUCCAAAAGAAAACAAAAGAGAGGUGGACCACCUAUCACCAAAUCCCUCG
rnacentral:lncRNA from 1 species